rnacentral:rRNA from 1 species
GACGAACGCUGGCGGCGUGCUUAACACAUGCAAGUCGAACGAAGAGCGAUGGAAGCUUGCUUCUAUCAAUCUUAGUGGCGAACGGGUGAGUAACGCGUAAUCAACCUGCCCUUCAGAGGGGGACAACAGUUGGAAACGACUGCUAAUACCGCGUACGAUCUAACCUCGGCAUCGAGGAAAGAUGAAAGGUGGCCUCUAUUUAUAAGCUAUCACUGAAGGAGGGGAUUGCGUCUGAUUAGCUAGUUGGAGGGGUAACGGCCCACCAAGGCGAUGAUCAGUAGCCGGUCUGAGAGGAUGAACGGCCACAUUGGGACUGAGACACGGCCCAGACUCCUACGGGAGGCAGCAGUGGGGAAUCUUCCGCAAUGGACGAAAGUCUGACGGAGCAACGCCGCGUGAGUGAUGACGGCCUUCGGGUUGUAAAGCUCUGUUAAUCGGGACGAAAGGCCUUCUUGCGAACAGUUAGAAGGAUGA